AGUUCUGUGCUGCUCCAUGCUGGAGUUUGGCCAGGCUCAUCAGCCCCACAGAAUGCUUCUCUUCCCUUGUGCUUGGCCUUGGGAUCCAUGUCAGGAGCAAGAUCAGAUGGUCUUCAGACAAACCAAAAGAUGCUGCAAGGGCAAAAAGGAGAAACAUGUUCUCCAUGUUUGCUAAGGCUCAGCAGCAAGCCCUGGGCUUAUAGAGCAAGGGGAGGCUAACUCAGAGAGGAGGGAACAGCCAGGCACUGCAGGAACUCACAUCUCCUGGCAUUGGGAUUGGCAUGGUGUUCAAGGCUGCUCGUCUGCAGGCCAGUACUACCUUCCAGGCAUGUGAUGCAUGGAUAAAUAUGGGCUGUUUCACCAGAGAGACAGUACCCCAGACAUUGUUGAGAA